ensembl:lncRNA
GUUUUAUUGUGAAAAUCACGCCGGAAGAGAUCCGAGUGCCAGCCUCCAGUAUUAGCAGCGGUGUUAGGAUUCAGUGUGGCAGCAAGGGAAAUCAGUGGAAUCUGGGCCAUCUGGGAAAAGGGCAGUCGGUGAAAACCGGCACUAAACCGGCAAGAAUCCCGGCGAAGUGUCCACCGUGACACCGCAGAAGCUCCCGGCGGACUCCUCUGUCCCGUCUCCCGCUGCUGGCUGCGGUUUUUCCUCCCUGGAUCCGCACAGCUGAUUGAAUCAUCCCUGUGUGCUGCGCUCCAGCUGGACUGAGCUGUUAGCAGACCAAAGGGUUCAGAGUGGUGACAAGUAAGCAGCUCUCCAGGAAUAGCAUGCUGUGCCCUGGGCAACACUGUGGGGUUGUCUGGGUGGAGAGCUGGAGGAGCCAGGGCGAGGUGACAGAGUGGAGGAGGAGCUGCUUGGAGUUAUCGAUCAGACCGGAGUUUCAGGCCUACAAUACUGUCACUGUUAAGUACAACUCGAUGAGCUGUAUGUGCAGCUUAAUAAUCUUUACCAAAAGACAGUUUUUUCAUAUGUACUGGAAAAGAAAAGAAUAGUGUGUAAUAUCAACUGUGAUAAUUUGAUUUCAUUUACCUUCAAUGUGAUAUUAGAAACAGCCAAACAGAGUCAAGAUCACUACAGUCAAAAUAAGACUAUUUU